UACGAAGGGGGCUAGCGUUGCUCGGAAUUACUGGGCGUAAAGCGCACGUAGGCGGAUUGUUAAGUCGGGGGUGAAAUCCUGGAGCUCAACUCCAGAACUGCCUUUGAUACUGAAGAUCUUGAGUUCGGGAGAGGUGAGUGGAACUGCGAGUGUAGAGGUGAAAUUCGUAGAUAUUCGCAAGAACACCAGUGGCGAGGGCGGCUCACUGGCCCGAUACUGACGCUGAGGCACGAAAGCGUGGGGAGCAAACAGG
rnacentral:rRNA from 1 species